rnacentral:tRNA from 1 species
GCGCCCGUGGUGAAAUGGAUAUCAUGGAAGCCUCCGAAGCUUCAGGUCCAGGUUCGAUUCCUGGCGGGCGCA